CAUGCCGCGUGUGUGAAGAAGGCCUUCGGGUUGUAAAGCACUUUCAGUCAGGAGGAAAGGUUAGUAGUUAAUAGCUGCUAGCUGUGACGUUACUGACAGAAGAAGCACCGGCUAACUCCGUGCCAGCAGCCGCGGUAAUACGGAGGGUGCGAGCGUUAAUCGGAAUUACUGGGCGUAAAGCGUACGCAGGCGGUUUGUUAAGCGAGAUGUGAAAGCCCCGGGCUCAACCUGGGAACUGCAUUUCGAACUGGCAGACUAGAGUGUGAUAGAGGGUGGUAGAAUUUCAGGUGUAGCGGUGAAAUGCGUAGAGAUCUGAAGGAAUACCGAUGGCGAAGGCAGCCACCUGGGUCAACACUGACGCUCAUGUACGAAAGCGUGGGGAGCAAACGGGAUUAGAUACCCCGGUAGUCCACGCCGUAAACGAUGUCUACUAGAAGCUGGGGUCUUCGGACAACUUUUUCAAAGCUAACGCAUUAAGUAGACCGCCUGGGGAGUACGGCCGCAAGGUUAAAACUCAAAUGAAUUGACGGGGGCCCGCACAAGCGGUGGAGCAUGUGGUUUAAUUCGAUGCAACGCGAAGAACCUUACCUACACUUGACAUACAGAGAACUUACCAGAGAUGGUUUGGUGCCUUCGGGAACUCUGAUACAGGUGCUGCAUGGCUGUCGUCAGCUCG
rnacentral:rRNA from 1 species